rnacentral:rRNA from 1 species
CCUACGGGAGGCAGCAGUGAGGAAUAUUGGUCAAUGGGCGAGAGUCUGAACCAGCCAAGUCGCGUGAGGGACGACGGUCCUAUGGAUUGUAAACCUCUUUUGUCGGGGAACAAAGCCGCCCACGGGUGGGCGGAUGAGUGUACCCGACGAAAAAGCAUCGGCUAACUCCGUGCCAGCAGCCGCGGUAAUACGGAGGAUGCAAGCGUUACACGGAUUUAUUGGGUUUAAAGGGUGCGUAGGCGGACAGUCAAGUCAGCGGUAAAAAUGCGGUGCUCAACGCCGUACAGCCGUUGAAACUGGCAGUCUGGAGUGGGCGAGAAGUAUGCGGAAUGCGUGGUGUAGCGGUGAAAUGCAUAGAUAUCACGCAGAACUCCGAUUGCGAAGGCAGCAUACCGGCGCCCGACUGACGCUGAGGCACGAAAGCGUGGGUAUCGAACAGGAUUAGAUACCCUUGUAGUC